GACGAACGCUGGCGGCGCGCCUAACACAUGCAAGUCGAACGAGCGAGAGAGAGCUUGCUUUCUCAAGCGAGUGGCGAACGGGUGAGUAACGCGUGAGGAACCUGCCUCAAAGAGGGGGACAACAGUUGGAAACGACUGCUAAUACCGCAUAAGCCCACAGGUCGGCAUCGACCAGAGGGAAAAGGGGCAAUCCGCUUUGAGAUGGCCUCGCGUCCGAUUAGCUAGUUGGUGAGGUAACGGCCCCCCAAGGCAACGAUCGGUAGCCGGACAGAGAGGUUGAACGGCCACAUUGGGACUGAGACACGGCCGAGACUCCUACGGGAGGCAGCAGUGGGGAAUAUUGCACAAUGGGGGAAACCCUGAUGCAGCGACGACGGGUGGAGGAAGAAGGUCGUCGGAUUGUAAACUCCUGUUGUUGAGGAAGAUAAUGACGGUACUCAACAAGGAAGUGACGGCUAACUACGUG
rnacentral:rRNA from 1 species